AAGUUGUCUUAAUUAUCAACAUUAAAAUUUAAAACUCAAUCUUAAAUUCCUUAUUUAACCGAGAGAACAAAAAUCCAUAAAAUUUGGCCACAAUCCACGAAAGGGUUUUCUUUCUCUAUACGCAUUCUUUAUGUGGGGGACUCCUUCUCAAAUUAAUUGGCCUUUACAAAAUGCGUUAACGGCUUGUUGAAGAAACCGCUAAUGCAUUAAUUUUCAACUAAUUAACAAUCCACUAACGAAUCUUAUUUUACACUAACUAUAGAAUUUCUCCACAGCACACCAAGACACACAUUCUAUGACCCUAUGCCUUUUUAUGUACUCUUUGAUUCAUGUGAUCGUUGGAAAUGCUUUCACACAAUUGCCAAUUGCUAUAGCAUUUUGCAUAUAUUCUAACUUAAUUAAUUGUCCAAAUAUUUUAAAAUUUUGUCACAAUUUUAUGUUGUCAAGGAAAUUCUCAAGUUGUAUCUUAUUCGUUGGUAUGUGCUUGUGAGAUCGAUCUUGGUUUAUUAUUUUAAUUUCAUAAUAAAUAUGAACAAAAGCUAUUUGAAAAUAAGAAUAAAAUCAUAAAACUAAGGUAUAGGGAAUUAUUAAGUCAAGAGUCAACUUGCUUUUGGGAAACAGCAUACUUAUCCCAUCUUAGCAAUUUCCGCUCCUUCCAGAUGACAUGGCUUUGUAAAGCUUUGUUAUUGGCUAGCGUUUACACUGAAAAAGAAAAAUAAUAAGGUGAGGCAAGGCUUACGGAAACCACUGUGGAUGCAGCUGCUUUCCUCGACUAUUUCAAAAUUCCAAACGCGUUUGUUUUUUCCCCUCCUUAUUUUAAUAUCUGAAGAGGAUCCAUUUGCAGUCUCAUGCCCAAAACUUUAGAACAUAAUAAAAUUUACUAUGAAGUGUAUUUAGGGAACCACAUAUCUUUUAUUUCAGAAAGAUUAAGUUGCAAGUUUACAUCCUCUAAUAAUUGAUAAUUUUUUUUAAAAAAAGAGGGAGAGUGUGGUCAUAGCCCAAUUCCACCGUCAAUUUCCGUUAAAUUUUCAACAUAAAUAAUCAGAUAAAUAAAUAUGCUUAAAAAUUAUUUAAUUAAGAGUGUGUUUGGGACAACUACACAGUGACAUGAUUGGUUCUAACAAAUGGAAGAAGAAGAGAGGAAAGGAAUGAAUGAAGAGGGCGAAAGAAUUAAGGGGGUAAGAGUUAAUUUUGUCCUGUUUGUUAUUGAAGUAUUGUAAGUUUCAAACUACAGUUGUCAU
rnacentral:lncRNA from 1 species